rnacentral:rRNA from 1 species
UACGUAGGGUGCGAGCGUUGUCCGGAAUUACUGGGCGUAAAGAGCUCGUAGGUGGUUUGUCGCGUUGUUCGUGAAAACCGGGGGCUUAACCCUCGGCGUGCGGGCGAUACGGGCAGACUUGAGUACUGCAGGGGAGACUGGAAUUCCUGGUGUAGCGGUGGAAUGCGCAGAUAUCAGGAGGAACACCGGUGGCGAAGGCGGUUCUCUGGGCCUGUACUGACGCUGAGGAACGAAAGCGUGGGGAGCGAACAGG